rnacentral:tRNA from 1 species
GUUUAUAUAAUAUAAUCAUUAUAUUUGACUUCCAAUCAAAAAAUCUCAUAAGAGUAUAAAUA